rnacentral:rRNA from 1 species
GACGAACGCUGGCGGCGUGCUUAACACAUGCAAGUCGAACGGAAAGGCCCUGCUUUUGUGGGGUGCUCGAUUGGCGAACGGGUGAGUAACACGUGAGUAACCUGCCCUUGACUUUGUGAUAACUUCAGGAAACUGGGGCUAAUACCGGAUAGGAGCUCCUGCUGCAUGGUGGGGGUUGGAAAGUUUCGGCGGUUGGGGAUGGACUCGCGGCUUAUCAGCUUUUUGGUGGGGUAGUGGCUUACCAAGGCUUUGACGGGUAGCCGGCCUGAGAGGGUGACCGGCCACAUUGGGACUGCGAUACGGCCCAGACUCCUACGGGAGGCAGCAGUGGGGAAUAUUGCACAAUGGGCGGAAGCCUGAUGCAGCAACGCCGCGUGCGGGAUGACGGCCUUCGGGUUGUAAACCGCUUUCGCCUGUGACGAAGCGUGAGUGACGGUAAUGGGUAAAGAAGCACCGGCUAACUACGUG